UACGAAGGGGGCUAGCGUUGCUCGGAAUCACUGGGCGUAAAGGGUGCGUAGGCGGGUCUUUAAGUCAGGGGUGAAAUCCUGGAGCUCAACUCCAGAACUGCCUUUGAUACUGAAGAUCUUGAGUCCGGGAGAGGUGGGUGGAACUGCGAGUGUAGAGGUGAAAUUCGUAGAUAUUUGGAGGAAUACCGGUGGCGAAGGCGGCCUUCUGGGCCGAUCUUGGACGCUGAGACGCGAAAGCGUGGGGAGCAAACAGG
rnacentral:rRNA from 1 species